rnacentral:lncRNA from 1 species
GCACUGCAGCCUGGGCGACAGGGCGAGACUCCAUCUCAAAAAAAAAUCAGUAAUCACAUUAAACAUAAAUAGUCUACAAACUCCAAUUAAAAGGCAAACACUAUCAAACUGGAUAAAAGCAAGAUCCCAAACACAUGAUGCCUGGGAAAAAAAACCACUUUAAACAUAAAGACACAGGUGAUAAGUUUUUUUAAAAUAUAAAAAUAUAUGCCAAACACUAAUCAAAUGAAAAGCACGAGUAGCUAUAUUAUGAGACAAAGUAAGUUCUGUCAUUUCAAAAUGACAGAGACCAAUUCAUCAAGAUGACGACAAUCAUAAAUGCUUAUGUACCUUAUAAGUAAAUUUCAAACCAAAAACAAACAGAAUUGAGAUUUUAACACCUCUCUCUAUAAUUGAUAGAACAGAAAAUCGGUAAGAAUACAGAAGACUUAAACAUUAUCAAUCAACAAGCAAAACAGAAUUGAGAUUUUAACACCCUCUGUCUAUAACUGAUAGAAUAGGAAAUCGGUAAGAAUACAGAAGACUUGAACAUUAUCAAUCAACAAGCCAAUCAACAUUAAUAGAAUGCUCUACCUAACAACAGUAGAAUACACAUUCUUUUCAAGUGCCCGUGGAACCUUUAUCAAGACACCUUAUUCUGAUCCAUAAAACAAGUCUCAAUCAAUUUAAAAGGAUUCAAAUCAUAUAAGCUACUCAGGGUACUCCAAAUCAAGCUAACAUCUUACAGUCCAUUUAACUGCCAUAGCCAAGUACUGCUGUCACAAGCAAAACAUAAAGAAGUCUGAUACGAUGCUGCUGUCUACAGCCAUACCACCCUGAAUGUGCCCGAUCUCGUCUGAUAGGUCUGCUGCGGAAGGUACUCUCUAUGGAAGAACAUAAGACCUCAGCACCAAAGUCAAGGUUUGGAGAAGGAUACUGAUGUCUUCCUCUCGAGUUGUUGGACAGAUUAGAGACAAUGUAAGUAAUGCCUACAAUGUCUGGCACAGAGUAGGUGCUCACUGGCCUGGCAUAUGGAACCCUCACAAUCUGGUCUCUGCCUCUCUACCCAUCCACAGUGACACUCUACAAACUUUAUGUUCCAAUAAUUUGUAGAUAUACCUAAUUCCCACACGUUGCAAAUACACACACUCCCUCUCACCCACUCUGACUCUUUCUCUCCUGCUAUGUGUUGUCACCAGCUCCUGCUUAUGCCCUCUGUGAUUGGCCUAACUCCUAGUUACCCUUCAAGAUUCAGCUCAGAAAGCACCUUCCUCCAGGAAGCCUUCCCUGAUCUCUGCCAGGCAGAGGUAAAUGUCUCUUUUCAAUGUUCCCAUUGUUUCAUAACACAUACAAUUAUCUUCCAAACCAGGACAGUUGAGAGUGAAAGGAGAAACUAUGACUAGACAAGAGGCAGCAACUGGGAUAUCUGUUUAUGAUUUAUACAACUAUGAUAACACGUAUCAUGACUGUAGUAAAAUUCUGUUCCUGCGUCUGGACCUUCUUCAUCCCCAGAAGACCAUAAGCCCUGAGGGGCAAACCUUAUCCACCUCUGUAUUCCAAGAACCUAAGUGCCAAGAUGGGCAGUACUGACUUGAACAAACCUACAAUAAACCCUGGAACAAGCUACUAAUGUUCACUGCCACAGAUAACAUUUCUUUGAUACUAAUUAAAUGAAAGCUGAGCUGGCGAAUUUUUAUAUCUUUUUUUUUUAAGAAGCAUGACUCAAAUAGUAACUACCAAUUAUUUAAACAGCAAUCAGAAAUAGCCUGAGAAUUUAAGACAGGGGAAACAGAAUCUCUAAAGGGAAGUUACAUCAAAAGAUACAAAGUAUUCUUUUUUAUUAAAACUGUUUAUGCCUCCAGCUCUUGGUAUAAGAACAAGUCAGCAGUGUUCUAUUCCUAGUCUCUUUCUAGACUACAUUUUUUUUUUUAAGUAUCUCUUCUCUUACUUCAAAGGGGAAAAAAAUGUUUGAUGUAAGAACUGGUCAGUCAUGAAUCAAAGUAAAAGAUAAAGCAUACAACAAAGAGUUUCUCGAAGCCAGGGAGAAUCCAUUUAGCGUCCUCGAUUUAAAGGGAAAUCCCCUUGGCUAUUUCUCCCAAACAAACUGUUUAUAACAAGUUGGAGGAUUUAUAUCCACUCAACCACAUAAGGUCUACUUCUUACACCUAGAAAAGACAAUACUACAAAAUGUGUGAAAGAAAGACUAUUUUUCAACAGCAUAAUUAACAUCUGCAAAAAUCAAUCUCCUGGGGUACACUAUACUGAAAUUCUUAAGAAUCUUCUUUCCUCUACGAAAGGUUUUUUUGUUGUUGUUGUUUUGUUUGUUUGUUUUUGAGACAGAGUCUUGCUCUGUCGCCCAGGCUG